AUUGAACGCUGGCGGCAGGCCUAACACAUGCAAGUCGAGCGGAGCGGCGGACGGGUGAGUAAGGCCUAGGAAUCUGCCUGGUAGUGGGGGAUAACGUCCGGAAACGGGCGCUCAUACCGCAUACUCUAAGAUGAGCCUAGGGCGGAAUAGCUAGUGGGUGGGGGAACGGCCGACCAAGGCGACGAUCCGUAACUGGUCUGAGAGGAUGAUCAGGCAAACUGGAACUGAGACACGGUCCAGACUCCUACGGGAGGCAGCAGUGGGGAAUAUUGCACAAUGGGCGCAAGCCUGAUCCAGCCAUGCCGCGUGUGUGAAGAAGGUCUUCGGAUUGUAAAGCACUUUAAGUUGGGAGGCGUUACCAACAGAAUAAGCACCGGCUAACUACGUGCCAGCAGCCGCGGUAAUUC
rnacentral:rRNA from 1 species